rnacentral:lncRNA from 1 species
AGUUAAUGCCCUUUAUAGUCAAUUUUUAACAAUUUUUCGUAAAUCUUAGUUAACUUUUACAAAAAUCUUCUCCUCUGAAACUACUGGGCCAAAUUAAUCCAAACUUGGCCACAAUCGUCUUUGGAGUAUCUUCUUUAAAAAAAUUGUGCGGUGACCUGGCCAUCCAACCAAGAUGGCCGCCAUAGCUAAAAAUAGAACAUAGGGGUAAAAUGCAGUUUUUGGCUUAUAACUCAAAAACCAAAGCAUUAAGAGCAAAUCUGACAUGGGUUAAAAUUGUUUAUCAGGUCAAGAUCUAUCUGCCCUGAAAUUUUCAGAUGAAUCAGACAACCCGUUGUUGGGUUGCUGCACCUGAAUUGGUAAUUUUAAGGAAAUUUUGCUGUUUUUGGUUAUUAUCUUGAAUAUUAUUAUAGAUAGAGAUAAACUGUCAACAGCAAUAAUGUUCAGCAAAGUAAGAUUUACAAAUAAGUCAACAUGACCGAAAUGGUCAAUUGACCCCUUUAGGAGUUAUUGUCCUUUAUAGUCAAUUUUUAACAAUUUUCAUAAAAUUUGUAAAUUUUUACUAACAUUUUCCACUGAAACUAUUGGGCCAAGUUCGCUAUAAAUAGAGAUAAUUGGAAGCAGCAAG